rnacentral:rRNA from 1 species
UACGGAGGGCGCAAGCGUUAUCCGGAUUCACUGGGUUUAAAGGGUGCGUAGGAGGGCAGGUAAGUCAGUGGUGAAAUCCCCAAGCUUAACUUGGAAACUGCCGUUGAUACUAUCUGUCUUGAAUAUUGUGGAGGUGAGCGGAAUAUGUCAUGUAGCGGUGAAAUGCUUAGAUAUGACAUAGAACACCAAUUGCGAAGGCAGCUCACUACUCAAUCAUUGACGCUGAGGCACGAAAGCGUGGGGAUCAAACAGG